AUUGAACGCUGGCGGCAUGCCUUACACAUGCAAGUCGAACGGCAGCACGGACUUCGGUCUGGUGGCGAGUGGCGAACGGGUGAGUAAUGUAUCGGAACGUACCUUUCAGUGGGGGAUAACGUAGCGAAAGUUACGCUAAUACCGCAUAUUCUGUGAGCAGGAAAGCAGGGGAUCGCAAGACCUUGCGCUGAUUGAGCGGCCGAUAUCAGAUUAGCUAGUUGGUGGGGUAAAGGCCUACCAAGGCUACGAUCUGUAGCGGGUCUGAGAGGAUGAUCCGCCACACUGGAACUGAGACACGGUCCAGACUCCUACGGGGGGCAGCAGUGGGGAAUCUUCCACAAUGGGCGAAAGCCUGAUGGAGCGACGCCGCGUGAGCGAAGAAGGCCUCGGUUGUAAGACUCUGUCUGGAGGGACGGAAGGAAGGUAGACGGUACCGUCCGGACGGAAGGACCGACCGGCGUAACCUAACGUCGCCAGCAGCCGCCGGUAAGUGAGUAGUACGA
rnacentral:rRNA from 1 species